GGAUCUUUGAGAGUCUUUCUAGUAACCCGAAAUCGAAUUCCCAGCUUCUCAAGCUGUCUCGAUAGAACCCGAAUAAUUGUAGCUGAACUCCUCAAAUCUUCCUCUACCUUCUCAAUCCUUUCCAACAUAUUAACCCCUUUUAAAUCACUCCCAGGCCUGGAAAAGUUAUUCAUGCAAAUCCUCCUCCAUUGCCUUCUCCUAAUCACAGAACCAAUGA
rnacentral:misc_RNA from 1 species